UACGAAGGGGGCUAGCGUUGCUCGGAAUCACUGGGCGUAAAGGGCGCGUAGGCGGCGUUUUAAGUCAGGGGUGAAAUCCCGAGGCUCAACCUCGGAACUGCCUUUGAUACUGGGGAUCUCGAGUCCGGGAGAGGUGAGUGGAACUGCGAGUGUAGAGGUGAAAUUCGUAGAUAUUCGCAAGAACACCAGUGGCGAAGGCGGCUCACUGGCCCGGUACUGACGCUGAGGUGCGAAAGCGUGGGGAGCAAACAGG
rnacentral:rRNA from 1 species